rnacentral:rRNA from 1 species
UACAGAGGUCUCAAGCGUUGUUCGGAUUCAUUGGGCGUAAAGAGCUCGUAGGCGGCUUGUCGCGUCGGCUGUGAAAACCUGGGGCUCAACCCCGGGCCUGCAGCCGAUACGGGCAAGCUAGAAUUCGGUAGGGGAGACUGGAAUUCCUGGUGUAGCGGUGAAAUGCGUAGAUAUCAGGAGGAACACCUGUGGUGUAGACAGCUUACUGGACCAUAACUGACGCUGAGGCACGAAAGCGUGGGUAGCAAACAGG